CUAAAUCACGUGUAAAUGCAGGGAGAAGUGAUGCUGGGAGACGUGUGCAUGGUGGUGUGCAUGCAGAAUCCAACACAGAAGAGGGAAGAGUGCGAAGACCACCACGCUGGAUGCAAGAUUACAUUGGUAGUGAACAACUAUCUGAAGCAGAUGACUUUGCAUUUUUUGCUUUGUAUGCAGAUAAUGAUCCAUUAAGCUACACAGAAGCAGUGAAGAGUGACAUAUGGCAAAGAGCUAUGGAAGCAGAAUUGAAUGCUAUUGAAAGGAAUGACACAUGGGAGCUCACCAUGCUGCCUGCAGGAGGAAAAGUAGUGGGAGUUAAAUGGAUUUUCAAGACAAAAUUGAAUGAGAACGGUGAGGUGGAUAAACACAAAGCUCGUCUAGUAGCAAAGGGAUAUACGCAACAACAUGGAAUAGACUAUGCUGAAGUCUUUGCACCGGUAGCUCGGUUGGAUACCAUUCGAUUAGUCAUCUCAAUUGCAGCUCAAAAGGGAUGGGUUAUCUAUCAAUUGGACGUGAAAUCGGCUUUCUUGCAUGGGGAGUUAAAUGAAGAAGUUUAUGUUGCUCAGCCUCCUGGAUAUGAGAAGAAAGGAAAAGAGCAAAUGGUAUACAAGCUAGAGAAAGCACUGUAUGGACUCAAACAGGCCCCUCGCGCCUGGUAUAGCCGAAUCGAAUCAUACUUUGCUGAUCAAGGCUUCAAGAAAUGUCCUUAUGAACAUACAUUGUUUAUAAAAACAGGAGAUGGAGGUAAUAUCUUGAUCGUAUGCCUUUAUGUUGACGAUUUAAUAUUCACCGGUAAUGAUGUGAAUAUGUUUGAUGAGUUUAAGCAAUCCAUGAUGAAUGAAUUUGAUAUGACUGAUUUGGGGAGGAUGAAAUACUUUCUGGGUAUUGAAGUUUUGCAAAGUUCAAAUGGAAUAUUUGUUGGGCAAAAGAAAUAUGCACAAUCAAUUUUGGAGAAAUUUAAGAUGGAUGGCUGCAAUUCUGUUAACAUUCCGAUUGUUCCUGGUAUGAAGCUUUGCAAGGAUCAUGGUGGAUCAAGAAUAGACAGCACACUAUACAAACAAAUUGUGGGUAGUCUAAUGUAUUUAACCUCCACUAGACCCGAUAUGAUGUUUGUUGUAAGUCUUCUCAGCAGGUACAUGGAAAGCCCCACUGAACUUCAUUUAAUGGCUGCAAAAAGGGUUUUCAGAUACCUAAAGGGGACUGUCAGUUAUGGGAUAUUCUACAAGAGAGGAGGACUUGAAGGGCUUAAUGUGUAUUCUGAUAGUGACUACGCUGGCGAUAUUGAAGAUCGGAAAAGCACGUCAGGUUAUGUCUUCAUGUUAAACUCAGGAGUUGUCUCAUGGUCUUCAAAGAAACAACCCAUAGUGACAUUGUCCACCACGGAAGUUGAGUUUAUAGCAGUAACAUCUUGUGCUUGUUAGGCAAUAUGGCUCCGGAGAAUUUUGCAGCAGCUGGGACAUAAUCAAGAAGGUCCUACGACAAUUCUUUGUGACAAUAGCUCUGCCAUCAAGCUUUGCAAAAAUUCAGUCUUACAUGGACGUAGUAAGCAUAUUGAUGUUCGGUUUCAUUUUAUUCGAGAGCUUACUAGCAUGGGUAUCAUAGAAGUAACACACUGUCCAACUCAAAGUCAAGUUGAGGAUAUAAUGACCAAACCAUUGAAGAAUGAUGCCUUUGUAAAAUUACGGGGUCUGAUGGGAGUUUGUUCUGUGUCAAGUGUAAACUGAUGCACUUGGCAUUCAGUUUAAGAGAGGAUGUUAAAUAUUAGGAUUUGAUUUACCAGUUAAACUGGGUUGUUAAUAAUUCCUAUUGUAUAGGAACACUUAGCUGUAGUUUGCUUAGCUGUAAUGUGUCUUUGUCUUUAACUGUCCAUGUUGCUCUCCACGUCACAAAAGGAGUGGGCACGUUUUUAGCUUAUUCAGUUUCUUUACAUUUGCUUUGCUUCUGUUUGUAAGGCUAUUAAAUAGCCACACAGUUAUUGUUCAAAUCUUCUGAGAUCAACACAGACAAGGGCAACAAAUGUUUAUGGGUACAUUAUGUAAGGACGACAGGUCGAUGGUGUGAUGUGAUUACUUGACUCAAGGAUUUGGAUUUAAUAAAUUUGAUUAAUGAUGUUUGAGAUUUUGACAAAACAUGUUGGAAGAUUUACUUGUAUGGAUAUGAUUAAGAUUGAUUACCAAACAUGGACGACCAUGUUUUUAAAUUUUAGUUGAACAAAAGUCCAAGAGGAGUGUUUCCACCAAUUUUCUCUCAUCCACUAGUUUCAUCCACAGCAUGUAUAGGAUUUGCUCGAAAGGUUAAAGCAUAGUGAUUUUCACAUGUGACUUUUUAAGUCUCUUUUGGCAUUGCAGUAAAAUUUUUCUUUUUAAAAUUUUUUGAAUUUUAAUUUUUUUUUGUAUGUAGGAUUUAUUUUGAAAUUAUGGUAUUAAAAAUAAUUUUUUUAAAAAAUAUUAUUUUAAUAUAUUUCUAAAUGAAAAAUAGUAUGAAAAACAACUUCUAUUAUAUUUUUAAACAAACUCUUAGCAUAAUUGUCAAAUCUAGUUUAGUAUUUGAUUUGGAUUAAAAUUUGAGCUAUAAAAUUAUUAAGUUAUUUAUGUUUAUUAUAUCAAUUGAAAUCUAUUAUUUUUAUCCAAAACAUAGUUAUUUCAAUUUUUUUAAUCUUGAUUUUAGCAUAAUCAAAUUUAAACGAAUUGAUCAAAUCAUAAAUUAAUUUAUUAUAUUUUUAUGAUUUGUUUUGAUAUUCUGGUAUUAAAAAUAAUUUUGUUUUUAAAAAAUAUUAUUUUAAUAUAUUUUUAAAUAAAAAAUAUUUUAAAAAAUAAUUUUUAAUACACUCAAACAAACUCUUAGUAUAAUUGUCAAAUCUAAUUUAAGAUUUGAUUCGGAUUACGAUAUGAGUUAUAAAGUUGUUAAGUUAUUUAUGUUUAUCAUAUCAAUCUAAAUUUAUUAUUUUUAUCCAAACAUAAUUAUUUCAAAAAAAAUUUAAUCUUGAUUUUGACCUGAUUAAAUUUGAACAAAUUGAUUAAAUUAUAUGUUAAUUUAUUAUAUCAUUUAAAUUUAAAUAAAUCAAUAUAAAAAAUAAUUCAAAUUAAAACCCGUCUAGAAUGCCACCAUAUUAGUCUGUCAGAACAAAGUUUAAGUAUAUUCAAACCUCAAAGAUUUUCAAGGGCAAUGAAAGGAAGAAAGAUUUUCAUUUAAUAUAUAUGUGAAUAAAUUAAACAGUUAUUCGUAUGUUUUUGUACACAAUAUAAUUAAUCUUCCAUUUAUAUAUAUGAAAUCUUUAUGGCCAAAUUAAGGAUAUAUUUGGACUAAUCUAAGCAUACUAAUAUUCAAUGCAUCUUUUGCAUUGAAGAUAACAAUGGAAGAGGAGUGAUGUGUGAUAGAAGGUAUAAAAACUUGUCUUAAUCUUCAAAUUAAUAACAUACUUUUGAGUACCAUAACAUAGAACAGAGAGCUGUUCUGGUUGGUGGGAGACUGUUAGGAUCCUUCAAUGUCUUAAAAAGAUGUAGAAACUCAAACUAGGAAAGGUACAAUGUUAGAUUCUUGCAGCAAAUAUUCUCUAUGGUCAAGGAUUGCAUGAUUUUCAUCCCAUCUCUAUACAAAAAAGACAGCGACAAUUAAAAUAAAAAUAGCAUGAUAUUGUGUUUUUAUUUUGAAAAAAUAAAAAUUUAAUAAAUUUAUUUUUAUAUUUUUAUGUCCCUCUACUCAAGUACAUUUAUAUUUGUCCUCUUUUUUUAUUUAAUCAGAACAGUAACCAAAAGCAGCUUUAUUUUGCCUGCUGAUUGAGGGCUGCAAUUCCCAUGAUACAAGCAUCAUUUAUCACAAAUGGCAAAUGCCUCACCCAACUAUUUAUUUCUUAGUACAAUUCAAAGAAUUCAGCAACUGCUAAAAAGGAAGAGUUAUGUUCCAAAUCCAUCAAACCAUGAAUCAUGUUUCAGAAAAGCCAGUUAUGGCUACAAGUAAGCAUUUAUAUUUCAAAACUUGUACUCCCAUUUAAGCCUAUUUCAACUGUUCCUGCAAAAUUACAAAAUAAACAAAAAAACCAUUCAUCCAUGUAGGGGAACAUGGCAUGGCUCACAUCCAGCAAGAAUCCUGAGGCCAUUGAUCUUUAACUGGAAAUGGGAUGUGUAUUUCAUGUGAUUUUUUUUUUAAUCAAGUGUGCUUUAAUGUGAUUAGAUAACUAAGAUUAUAUGGUUAAUUAACACACGGUGUUGUAAGAAGCUUCUCUUUUCUUGCUGAUCAAGAUCUGUGAGGUGGGGGGAAAGAGAAGGAGAGAGAGAGAGGGGAUGUCUCAAAGAUAGAACACAACAUUGCAGAGAAUAUGUAGAACAAGUAGUAACUUAAACAUAGAUCAUCUAUUGAUAGGGCUUGUAAUGUACAUAGUACUGGUUAAGGGUUUGAAAGCCAAGUUCUUCAUAGAUCAACUAGAUAAUUAAUGACAGACCUGAAACAUAGACACACUAACACAAGAAGAGGGCAUAAGCUUCAACACAAGCACACAAGACCAAGCAUAAACAUAGGAGAACAAACUGAAACAAGCUUAUUGAAACUUCCACGGCUAAAACGAGUCCAGACCCCUAAAUCAAGAGCCUCAAACCAGACCGCCACUAGACUAACUAGCUAGAGAUCCUGGCUAGUAAGUGCAGUCAAGACUCUUGCUCAUGGUGGUGAGCCAAUGGAACCAGUACCAGGGAUCCUGACACAACCAACCCCAGGGUAAGAGCAAUACCCUGUUGGCCCAAGCUGAAAGACAGGACCAUUAGGACUUGGGAUAAAGCCACCACUGGUACCAAAGCCUCCUAGAUAGUUCUGCGGUUGGUCAGCUUUCUCCUUGUCCUUGAGCUUCCUUCCUGCUUCAACAUUGGAGGCAAGAACCAGAAUGAAAAUGGCAAGGAUCAGUAGCAUCCUUUGAGUUCUCUCCAUCUUAGCACUUCUCUCAACACCUGGCAUUGACACACUCUCUACUUUUCUCUAGUCUUUCUCACUUGCAGUGUAAAGAACCCUAGCCACCCCCACCCAUCUUAUAGUACCCGAGGUUUCUAGUUUAAACAAGUGUAUAACCAACUCUUUUACAACACAGCAGUAGACAUGGAAAAGAGUUAGAUGGGAUAGUCACUAAUGAUGUAGCUAAAAAUUUAUGUCUUGGGUCCAUCCAUCACUGUCAAAAAAUCACUCCAUAAACCAUUCACCAGCUCAUAUUAUGUAAAAAUACUUCAAUAACCUUUACUUUAUCUAACACUAUUGAAG
rnacentral:lncRNA from 1 species